CCCCUCUCAGGGUCACACCCGGAGAGUUUCCAGUACUCUACCAGUCUCAACUUUGAGAGGGAGAGUCAAGCAGAGGCAUACCCAUUCCUUUCCUAGCUUGGCCAGUGGAUAGCGGUUGGAAGGCAUUCUGCUACAAGU